CAAGGACGUCGCCCAAUGCGCGGCUCCAGUCCUGCCUGUGCUCGGCGGUCAGAAGCGCCAAAUGUUUGUGAGAGUGUACGUUAUACCCCUUACAGACACUCCCUCUCUCCUGGGCAUCAGGCUCCCUGGUUCAGAUCAUCCAUGACCCAUUUCUCUACACUCAAGGAGUUAUCUGGCCACGUUGGCUCCAGCUCUAAUGGAGUGAGUUGAGCAGUGAUGGACCCAGAGAAGAGUGGAGAAAACAGGGCAUGAAGGAGAAAUAUAUUUUCGUGUUUGCUUAUAAGGAACUCUAGAAGGAUCUGUAAGAAACAAAAUACUACCUGUGGAGGCAGAUGGCCCUGGACACACAGGCUAAAUGAGAGAAGGAACAGAUUAAGGC
ensembl:lncRNA